rnacentral:rRNA from 1 species
ACAUGUCCGCAUGAUUAAAGGUAUUUUCCGGUAGACGAUGGGGAUGCGUUCCAUUAGAUAGUAGGCGGGGUAGCGGCCCACCUAGUCAACGAUGGAUAGGGGUUCUGAGAGGAAGGUCCCCCACAUUGGAACUGAGACACGGUCCAAACUCCUACGGGAGGCAGCAGUGAGGAAUAUUGGUCAAUGGGCGAUGGCCUGAACCAGCCAAGUAGCGUGAAGGAUGACUGCCCUAUGGGUUGUAAACUUCUUUUAUAAAGGAAUAAAGUCGGGUAUGCAUACCCGUUUGCAUGUACUUUAUGAAUAAGGAUCGGCUAACUCCGUGCCAGCAGCCGCGGUAAUACGGAGGAUCCGAGCGUUAUCCGGAUUUAUUGGGUUUAAAGGGAGCGUAGAUGGAUGUUUAAGUCAGUUGUGAAAGUUUGCGGCUCAACCGUAAAAUUGCAGUUGAUACUGGAUGUCUUGAGUGCAGUUGAGGCAGGCGGAAUUCGUGGUGUAGCGGUGAAAUGCUUAGAUAUCACGAAGAACUCCGAUUGCGAAGGCAGCCUGCUAAGCUGCAACUGACAUUGAGGCUCGAAAGUGUGGGUAUCAAACAGGAUUAGAUACCCUGGUAGUCCACACGGUAAACGAUGAAUACUCGCUGUUUGCGAUAUACGGCAAGCGGCC